ensembl:lncRNA
GAGCUGACCAGAGUGCUGGGAGCGCGGAUCCCGGGCCGGGAGCGGGAAAAGAGAAACGAGAGGGGCCAGAGGGCAAAAUGGACGCAAGACAGAGAACUCAAGAGAAAAAGAAAAAGAUUCAUUGGAAAGCAGGGAAAGAGGAGGUCUUUCUCUCGCGGAUUUGUUCACCAGACUUGGCUUUCUUGCACAUCCGUGUGGAGACCACCUUAGGAACAAACUGGAAAACCAGUUAAGAGCACUGCGAACCACAAAGCAAACAAAUGGACAAAGAAUUGGAGAAGAUGCAAAUGGGAAGAACGUCGCUUGGUGUUUCGCGUUACGUCUUGAGCAAUCUGCAAAUUCUUGUGGUGAACAAGAGUAACAGCUCUAAAGUGGUCAGGAAACCUGGACAUAACUUCUGAGCCAUAUUUUUGGAACCGUGCCUCUAUUGUCUGGGCCUGCGACUCUGACGUCUACUAAAUAUGAGGAAUUAUGAAGUGAUUGUUAAAUAUUUGAACAGCUAAGGGAAACCGGAAGUAAUGAGAAACAAAACACCCUACAGAUCUGAGUCACAGGAGAUCCACUGUGGCAGGCCCUGUCAACCUCAGCUCCAGCCAUUGUUUUAUGUGUAUAUAUGCCCAGAGAAGAAGCUGUCUGUCUGAAGGUCCCAACUGCCAGCCAUUUAAACUGGGAAGAACAGAAACACAGUUGGAGAACCUCACUCUUCCACUUAGCUCUGAUCAGAAAUUGUUUUUUGCCAGGACUGAGAGGCCACUAGAAUAUCUGUAUCUAAAUGAAACUAUUGUUUUUUUGCUGGUUACUCUUUAGGUUUUAAUUUUCCACUGUUAUGUGGACGAUAUGUAAAGUUAAGAUGUAUGAUCGCGUUUUUGGGAGGAUGAGGCAGGGGAUUGUGAGUUUGAUAGCUGGAACUAGUUUACAUCUCGUUUGUUGAGACAUGGGUUCAAUCUGUAGCCUAGAUUGUCCUAGAACUUUCUGUGUAGUCCAGGCUGCUUUGAACUUAUGGAUAUCCUCUUACCUUAGCUUCUAGAAUGCUGAGAUCAUACAUGUGAGCCGUUAUGCUCUAUGUAUAUGUAUUUCUCAA